rnacentral:lncRNA from 1 species
UGCAGAAGUCAACUUCAACAUAACUUUUAUAUCUGGGGAAUACCACGAAUUUGGGGACUUAAAGUUAAGUAACGGGGCAAAAAAUAAAUACGUUUUAUUUUAAAUACAGUCUGGCAACAGCCGUCUUGAUAUAAACAUUAGUUAGAUUAGACACCAAUCAGGUCAAUGUGUCUGUAGAAUCUCCUUGGUGACUGCGUUGUAUAUUAAAAUUGAAAGUGCGUAUUUUAUAACAAGCGUGUUAUUAAAAUACCAACACAGUAUUUCAACAAUAUAAUAAGCAAUGGAAGUACUAAUGAAAGGCAUCGUGCUAGGAGCCGCGGCGUUGGUAGCAGCUGUCACCAUAGCGUACGAGUGGUACCAGUACCAUCAGGUGCCCAAAGCGUACACUACUUACGGACAGAGACGGCCUAAGAACGAUUAGUAUUAUGGAGCGAAGACAAAGGGACAAUGCUAUUAAUUUAUAAGUAGUUUUAAGGAAAAUGUAUUAUUUGGUGCUUUUUGGAACCUUGUUAACCAGCAUAACAAUAUUUUUAGGGGCUCAGUUAAGUAUAGAGUAGUUUUAGAAUUCGCAAAAAUUGAUGUAGGCAACAUGAGGACUUAAGGCCUUUCGUAUACAAGGCUACUAAAAUCUUCGAUAUCUGAUGAAAUACAUAUAUAUCGGGUGUGUCGUAACUAAUCACAUGAAAUCAUAUCACAUAUAUACUUCAUGAUAUUCUAUAGCGAAUUGUAAAAAAAAAAUAACCUAGUCUAUUCAGUGGUUUAGCCACAGGAGUCAUUUUUCGUUUUCAUAAUUUACUACAUCAUUUGUAAGGCAGAGAUACAGUUAUUAUAGCCUUAGUUUUUCACUAUUUGUUUGUACUCCUGUUAUAGUCCGUAUCAAGGAGAAGUUUAUACAUAUGAUCAUCUGCACGAAUCUUGAGCUCUGAUCUUCACAUGCGCUGAAGUAAUUUAUUGGGUCCCUUUGGUGGUAUGAAGUGAGGCGCGGGGCGCGUCAUAGUCGUCACUCGGGAUUGGUUCUUUGCUAAUAAAUCACUUCUGCGCAAGUGAAGGUCGGCGCUCAAGAUUCGUGCCGAUGAUUCUAAACUGUUUGACAUAAAUUAAAGUUAAGGCUCUUGUUUUUGCGUAAAAAAAAGUUUUUCGGAAUCCUGUGUCCCAUUAUUCUGUAUUUUUUCUCUUAAUCAUAGCUUUGACUUGAUUUUGAAAGUAUUAUUUUGCCAAAGAAUCCGAUGGUUAGUCAAAACGUUGAAGCCAAGCAAGGCGAAGAACUUUUCAAUCUUAAGCAAUUUUCGCUACCAAUAAAGUAGUGAAAUAUUGUGGAAAAAUUAAAAUGAAAAACUCUUGAGAGCCUUUUACUAAGUUUGUGGCGGGCUUCCAGUCUAACUAAAUGGAGAUAUUACAGUAUGAUUUAGUUAAACUACACAAUCAGGCACAAAUUAAGAUAUAGGUAUUCUAAGUUAAGUUCUAAAUUUUGGAUCAUCUUCAUAUCAACUUGUUACCGUCCACUAAAUAGGCUUACCUACCCCAAUAAGAGCUAACAUUACCCCCCCGCGCCCUCCGAAGCACAGUCAUUGGUGUCCAAGAAAUACCUACUUAGAAAGUACAUACAAACUUAGAACUGUUGCAUUGGUACUUGCCUGAACUGAAACCCACUCUCAUACUUGAGAGGUUGGUUCUUUACCCACUUGGCCACCAUGACUUACUUGAACCAUGACAUUGAUAUUAUUUGUAUCGUGAAUCUCAAAUAAACAGGAAAACAUACUUAAUGUUUUAAGAAAUAUUGUAUCUUUUUGACGUCUAAAUAAGUACGUUUUGGAUGUCGACUGCAUGCAACUACCGACCGCACAAGCCGCGACUGCAUGAAGUCGGCCGCAGCUGCACUACUGGUUUGUAUGUACAUGAAACCGUUUUGGAUCGAAGCGGCAGCAGCACGUGCAGUCGCCCUCAGAUAUCGACGGAUUUCAUGCAGUCGCUGCAAGUGCGGUCGGUAGUUGCAGUCCGUAGCUAGCAUUCAAAACGCAUUUUUUUUAUAUAAAUGAAUGACUGUAGAUAGUUUUAAUCAUUCAUUUUCAAAUAGCAGGGUUAUUAUUUUUGGCAAAGAAAAAAAAUGCAAAAGUAGUUUAAGGUUAAAUGCAAUAAAUAGAUAAUAAUCUAAAUUAUUAAACGGCUUUAAUGUAUUAUUGAAAGCAAUAAUGUAAUAAAACUUAUGAAUUGUG